rnacentral:rRNA from 1 species
GACGAACGCUGGCGGCGCGCUUAACACAUGCAAGUCGAGCGAGAACCCAGGCUUCGGCCUGGGGGAAAGCGGCGAACGGGUGAGUAACACGUGGGUAAUCUGCCCUCGGCAUCGGGAUAGCCCGGGGAAACCCGGAUUAAUACCGGAUGGCCCGACAGCUCUUCGGAGCGGUCGGAAAAGGUAGCUUCGGCCUCCGGCCGAGGAGGAGCCCGCGGCGGAUUAGCUUGUUGGUGAGGUAAUGGCUCACCAAGGCUCCGAUCCGUAGCUGGUCUGAGAGGACGAUCAGCCACACUGGGACUGAGACACGGCCCAGACUCCUACGGGAGGCAGCAGUGGGGGAUCCUGCGCAAUGGGCGAAAGCCUGACGCAGCGACGCCGCGUGAGGGAAGAAGGCCUUCGGGUUGUAAACCUCUUUCAGGAGGGACGAAGCCACUCGGGUUAAUAGCCCAGAGGGUGACGGUACCUCCAGAAGAAGCCCCGGCUAACUACGUGCCAGCCGCCGCCGUAA